rnacentral:rRNA from 1 species
AUUGAACGCUGGCGGCAGGCCUAACACAUGCAAGUCGAGCGGAUGAAGGGAGCUUGCUCCUGGAUUCAGCGGCGGACGGGUGAGUAAUGCCUAGGAAUCUGCCUGGUAGUGGGGGAUAACGUCCGGAAACGGGCGCUAAUACUGCAUACGUCCUGAGGGAGAAAGUGGGGGAUCUUCGGACCUCACGCUAUCAGAUGAGCCUAGGUCGGAUUAGCUAGUUGGUGGGGUAAAGGCCUACCAAGGCGACGAUCCGUAACUGGUCUGAGAGGAUGAUCAGUCACACUGGAACUGAGACACGGUCCAGACUCCUACGGGAGGCAGCAGUGGGGAAUAUUGGACAAUGGGCGAAAGCCUGAUCCAGCCAUGCCGCGUGUGUGAAGAAGGUCUUCGGAUUGUAAAGCACUUUAAGUUGGGAGGAAGGGCAGUAAGUUAAUACCUUGCUGUUUUGACAUUACCAACAGAAUAAGCACCGGCUAACUUCGUG